UACGUAGGGGGCAAGCGUUGUCCGGAUUUAUUGGGCGUAAAGAGCGUGUAGGCGGCCAUGCAGGUCAGCUGUGAAAACUCGAUGGCUCAACCUCGAGAUGUCGGUUGGAACCGUAUGGCUAGAGUCCGGAAGAGGAGAGUGGAAUUCCUGGUGUAGCGGUGAAAUGCGCAGAUAUCAGGAAGAACACCCGUGGCUAAGGCGGCUCUCUAGUACGGUACUGACGCUGAGACGCGAAAGCGUGGGGAGCGAACAGG
rnacentral:rRNA from 1 species